AGGAUGAGACUGCGUCUGAUUAGGUAGUUGGUGGGGUAACGGCCCACCAAGCCCAUCAUCAGUACGGGUUGUGGGAGCAAGAUCCCGGAGAUGGAUUCUGAGACAUGAAUCCAGGCCCUACGGGGCGCAGCAGGCGCGCAAACUUUACAAUGCGAGCAAUCGUGAUAAGGAAACCCUGAGUGCCUGUUGAUGCAGGCUGUUCAUUAGUUUAAAUUGCUAGUGAAGAAAGGGCAGGGCAAGACCGGUGCCAGCCGCCGCGGUAAUACCGGCUGCUCGAGUGAUGGCCACUAUUACUGGGUUUAAAGCGUCCGUAGCUUGAUUGUUAGGUCUCUUGGGAAAUCUUCAGGCUUAACCUUAAGGCGUCUAAGAGAUACCGGCAAUCUUGGGACUGGGAGAGGUAAACCGUACUUCGGGGGUAGGAGUGAAAUCUUGUAAUCCUCGAGGGACGACCUAUGGCGAAGGCAGUUUACCAGAACAGCUUCGACAGUGAGGGACGAAAGCUGGGGGAGCAAACGGGAUUAGAUACCCCGGUAGUCCCAGCCGUAAACAAUGUGCGUUAGGUGUAUCGGCAACCACGCGUUACUGAUGCGCCGCAGAGAAAUCGUGAAACGCACCACCUGGGAAGUAUGGUCGCAAGGCUGAAACUUAAAGGAAUUGGCGGGGGAGCACCACAACAGGUGGAGCCUGCGGUUUAAUUGGAU
rnacentral:rRNA from 1 species